GUGCUCGCUUCGGCAGCACAUACACUAAAAUUGGAACGAUACAGAGAAGGUUAACAUGGCCCCUGCGUAAGGAUGACACGCAAAUUCGUGAAACACUCCAUAUUUUU
rnacentral:snRNA from 1 species